AGCUGUUGAGGAAAGCUCACUCUGAAAAGAGAACAAUGCUGCUGAAAACCUUUGGGCUGCUUCUGUGGAGCUGGACCAUCGUGUGAGCUAACAAAUCGGCCUUGCAUUUUGUCUGAAAUCGGUGAAAUGGGCGAUGUUUUCAGAGAAUUUGUUCUUGGUGACUGCUGAAAAUCAACAGUUGACUUUUGGUGCAGCUGGAGUGUAGGUCAUCGAGCUGAACUCUCCUGUUUAAGUGAAUUUCCACCUCAUGAGGGGCUAAAUCUGGAGCCUUAAACUAUCCAGAAACCCUGGACCAGAUGUCAAACCUGUGACCAGAUGUCAAACCUGGACCAGAUGUCAAACCUGUCCUAUCCAGGUGAGCACAGGGGGGCUGGAAACCCUCUCGUGGAAGUAAAACCUGAAAAAGCCCAAUUCUGUAGCAGGGCAUUAAUUGUGCAGCAGCAGAACCUCUGUCAGGUUUGCCCAGCAGAUGCCAGCAGUGAAUUAGAGCUUGUGGGAAAAUAAAAGGAGCUCAAUAUGUGACUGUUGCAAACACUUCACUGCUUAAAGCAUGAUUGCUUGGAAUUGAUUAAUUUUAUUAUUUUUUUUUCAUUAAGGUUGAUUUUUACUGUGAAGACCCUCGUUUUAUUCUCUGAAUCCCUGAGGCUUGGGUUUCUAGAAAACAUUCAGGUUCAGAUUUGGUCCAUGGCUCAUAAUAAUGGGCUUUCACAUAAACAACGGGAUUAAGUUACUUAUUUCAAAGAUGUUUUAGGUUUAGCCUUUUGACACCUUUUAUAUUUUUUUACCCGACCUGUUCUCUUCCUGUUUACUGUCCUUUUCAGAGUAAGAGCCAUAACUCUUCUUGUUUACUGCCCCUCUCAGUUGGAAUUAUAAAUUUGACCUGACAUUAAGCUGUUCCUUUUUGUACUGGAGAAAAAAAAAAAAACAACAACCCAAACCCAUGAAGUCAUAUGGUGUUAUCCUUCACUUUCACUGAACCAUCUGGGCUCCUGGAGCCAGAGCUGAAAACUGUCAACGUCUCCUGACGGGAAGCAAAGAGACUGAGCUAAAAGGGAAGUUCAGGCUGGAGAAUCCCCUGGUAGAAGUUCUUGAGCAGUUCAGUGCUGGAGGAAGGAAGUCGUUGUCUUGUCCUGCCCCAGAGCCACAGCGAUAGGGAGCAUACAUCGGACUUCUGGCCUUUGACUAACUAACAUCAUUAAAUUAUAUGUUCUUUCAUUGAUCCCUUGGAAAACUCAGCCUUGUUGAACAAGUAUUUGAUUUGGGGCAGCAAGGGGCAGAGAUGAACAAAAACAUCCAAGGCCAAAAUAUAUCAUCACUAUAAAUAGUGACCUUUGCAAUAUUCCCAUUGUUAAUUGAAUUACGUUAUUAAGAGAAGCUACUGAGUUACUACCUAACUACUGUCAGGCAGUAGUGGUUAGUCCAGAGGGA